rnacentral:rRNA from 1 species
AGAGUUUGAUCCUGGCUCAGAUUGAACGCUGGCGGCAUGCUUUACACAUGCAAGUCGAACGGCAGCACGGGCUUCGGCCUGGUGGCGAGUGGCGAACGGGUGAGUAAUGCAUCGGAACGUACCCAUUUGUGGGGGAUAACUACGCGAAAGCGUGGCUAAUACCGCAUACGCCCUGAGGGGGAAAGCGGGGGAUUCUUCGGAACCUCGCGCAAAUGGAGCGGCCGAUGUCAGAUUAGCUUGUUGGUGAGGUAAAGGCUCACCAAGGCGACGAUCUGUAGCGGGUCUGAGAGGAUGAUCCGCCACACUGGGACUGAGACACGGCCCAGACUCCUACGGGAGGCAGCAGUGGGGAAUUUUGGACAAUGGGGGCAACCCUGAUCCAGCCAUGCCGCGUGAGUGAUGAAGGCUUUCGAGUCGUAA